CUCGCCAAAAGAGCGCCCCCCCAUGGCAGGAGAAAAAAGUCCAUUUUUUCUUGUCUCCUAAGGCGAAAAUACACAUUGUUGACUGUCACGCCUUUACGCUUUGUCAAAAUGACACAAAAUUUGACACACACAUGUAUCUCAAUAAGAUCUACGAAAAAGUCAAUGCGAGCGUAUCUGUUCAAUGUACGGUUAAAGGGCUAUUUCGCAUUUUUUGCCGAUUCGCACACAUUGGAAUGUGGCUAACUCCUCCUGAAGCUUUUGUCCCAUCGGCUUCAAAUUUGCUCAGGUCAAUCUACACCCCAUGGCCAUUCAAAGUUGUACAAAUCAUGACGCUGCACCCCACGGUUUACGUUCUAGGGGGCGCCAAAGAGGACCCAAAUAUCCACAUUUUUAAAAGUCUUAUAACUUUUUAUUUUUGUCCUUACUGGCCUCCAAGUUUUCUAGGAUGAUGCAAUGUCCAGCCAUCAACACAUUUGUGAAGGAAUUUUUUCUCUCCAAAAGAGCGCCCCCCCAUGGCAGGAGAAAAAGUCAAGUUUUUCCUGCCCAUCGCUCAAUGGCUCAAACGCAUCGCUCUCUCGGCAAAACCGAAAGGAGGAGCAAAUUGCCAUUUGGAUAUAUACUAGCUGUGUUUGUGCCCUCACUCAUGGUCCAGACUGUUUUCAAAAAGGACAUGGAGUUUGUCUGCAGCGAGCGUUUUGGUAGAAACUGCGCCUCCCAUUCAUUAUAAUGGUAAAUGACCACAGACAAGUGUGCACACCAUCUUUGGACCUUGAGUGUGACGCGAUCGGGAGGGGUAGGCGGUCGCGCUGGGGGCGGCGCGACACGGCUCGGGCCCGCCAGUGCCCCAACGGGGCCCUAGUGUUAUUAUUAUUAGGGCCUGAGCGUAGCUGCUAAGCAGCUGCGAGGCCCUGUUGUUCCUGUAGUGGUUUUUCUUUGUUUCUUUUUUCUUUUUCUUCCCCUUUGAACUGGAAAAUGGCCCACUUCCCACUGGAGAAAACUCAUGAAAUUUGGCAGGCAUCCGGGCCUGGUGAAAAAUUUGAUAUUCUGAAGUCGCCCAAACAAUAAAAUGCAAAAUGGCUCCAUAGCGCCCCCUAAGAUGAAAAUUCACACUAUUGACUGUCACGGCUGUACACUUUGUCAUAUUGACACAAAAAUCGACACACACAUGUAUCUCAAUAAGAUCUACAAAAAAGUCAGUGAGGGCGUAUCUGUCAAAUUUACGGUUAAAGGGUUAUUCCGCAUUUUUUGCCGAUCCACACACAUUGGAAUUUCGCUAACUCCUCCGAAGGCUUUCGUUCCACCGGCACCACAUUUGCUCAGGCCAAUCUACACCCCAUGGCCAUUAAAAGUUAUUCAAAUCAUGACGCUGCACCCCACGGUUUAGGUUCUAGGGGGCGCCAAAGAUAACCCUAAAAUCCACAUAUUUAAAAGUCUUAUAACUUUUUAUUUUUGUCCUCACUGGCCUCCAAGUUUUCUAGGAUGAUGCAAUGUCCAGCCAUCAACACAUUUGUGAAGGAAUUUUUACUCCCCAAUAGAGGGCCCCCCCCAUGGCAGGAGAAAAAAAGUCCAUUUUUUCUUGUCCCAUAAGGUGAAAAUACACAUUGUUGACUGUCAUACCUGUACGCUUUGUCAUAUUGACACAAAAUUUGACAAUCACAUGUAUCUCAAUAAGAUCUACGAAAAAGUCAAUGCGCGCCUAUCUGUAAAAUGUACGGUUAAAGGGCUAUUUUGCAUUUUUUGCCGAUUUGCACACAUUGGAAUGUGGCUAACUCCUCCUAAGGCUUUCGUCCCACUGACACCAAAUUUGCUCAGGCCAAUCUACACCCCACGGCCAUUCAAAGUUGUACAAAUCAUGACGCUGCACCCCACGGUUUAGGUUCUAGGGGGUGCCAAAGAUGACCCAAAUAUCCACAUUCUUAAAAGAAUCCACAUUCCCCCCCUUCCCCCAUCCCCCAUGGCAGGAGAAACAGUCAAGUUUUUCCUGCCCAUCACUCAAUGGCUCAAUCGCAUCGCUCUCCCGGCAACACCGUAACGAGGAGCAACUUGCCGUUUGGAUAUAUCCUAGCUGUGUUUGUGCCCUCACUCAUGGUCCACACUUUUUUCAAAUAGGACAUGUAGUUUGUCUGCAGCGAGUGUUUUGGUAGAAACUGCGCCUCCCAUUCAUUAUAAUGGGAAAUGACCACAGACAAUUGCGCACACCAUCUUUGGACCUUGAGUGUGACGCGAUCGGGAGGGGUAGGCGGUCGCGCUGGGGGCGGCGCAACGCGGCUCGGGCCCGACAGUGCCCCACCGGGGCCCUAGUUUUUCUUUUUCCUCCCCUUUGAACUGGAAAAUGGCCCACUUCCCACUGGCGAAAACUCAUGAAAUUUGGCAGGACGACCGGGCCUGGUGAAAAAUUUGAUAUUCCGAAGUCGCCCAAACAAGAAAAUGCAAAAUGGCUCCAUAGCGCCCCCUAAGGUGAAAAUUCACACUAUUGACUGUCACGCCUGUACGCUUUGUCAAAAUGACACAAAAAUUGACACACACAUGUAUCUCAAUAAGAUCUACAAAAAAGUCAGUGCGGGCGUAUCUGUCAAAUGUACGGUUAAAGGGUUAUUUCACAUUUUUUGCCGAUCCGCACACAUUGGAAUUUCGCUAACUCCUCCGAAGGCUUUCGUUCCACCGGCACCACAUUUGCUCAGGCCAAUCUACACCCCAUGGCCAUUAAAAGUUAUUCAAAUCAUGACGCUGCACCCCACGGUUUAGGUUCUAGGGGGCGCCAAAGAUAACCCUAAAAUCCACAUAUUUAAAAGUCUUAUAACUUUUUAUUUUUGCCCUCACUGGCCUCCAAGUUUUCUAGGAUGAUGCAAUGUCCAGCCAUCAACACAUUUGUGAAGGAAUUUUUACUCCCCAAAAGAGCGCCCCCCCAUGGCAGGAGAAAAAAGUCCAUUUUUUCUUGUCCCCUAAGGUGAAAAUUCACACUAUUGACUGUCACGCCUUUACGCUUUGUCAAAAUGACACAAAAAUUGACACACACAUGUAUCUCAAUAAGAUCUACAAAAAAGUCCAUGCGCGCGUAUCUGUCUAAUGUACGGUAAAAGGGCUAUUUUGCAUUUUUUGCCGAUUCGCACACAUUGGAAUUUCGCUAACUCCUCCUAAGGCUUUCGUCCCACUGACACCAAAUUUGCUCAGGCCAAUCUACACUCCAUGGCCAUUCAAAGUUGUAAAAAUCAUGACGCUGCACCCCACGGUUUACGUUUUAGGGGGCGCCAAAGAUGACCCAAAUAUACAUUACAGUAGACAAAGUAGUUUUGCCCACUGAGUGGCGCCAAAGGGACUUGUCUGUGGAGUCUGUGAGUCACUAUUGGCCGUUUUUGACUACUUUAGAUUUUACCUUUAUAUUUCCUCUUACAAAAUUUUUACCUUGCCUUGCCUGGUAUCAUUUUUUUCAGCACAACCUCACCUGUGUCAAUUUACAGUUAUUUUAUCAUUUUGACAUACUAUAUUUACACAUUGGACCCAAAUUCACACACAAAACAUAAAAUCCGAGUGGAAAAAAGUAACGUUUUUACUGUGAAAACCACAAAUAUGUGUGAUGAACUGUUUUUAAAACUUAAACUUCAAAUAAAAAUUGUAAACUUCAAAACAUAUGCAAAUUUUUAACAAAGAACAUAGUAAUUUACCUCUAUUGACAUCAAAAUGCAGGCAAUGGCCCAGGUGUUCUUUGUAAAAUUAUUUACAAAACACUGUAUAGUCUCACAAAUGUCACUUUUUAUUUAUGCCACUACAAAAACACAUGAUGUAAAUGAUGCAUGAUGUAAAACAUGAUGUAAAAAACUUGUGUAGAUCCUCCUCUAUGUUAGUCCAUGUGUAAUUUUUCCAUAAUUCUUUGUUUUUUGCAGCAUUUUUGUUAGUGUAACUGCAGAUUGUGCUGACAGUGUCUAUGGCAAAAAAAAAAAAAAAAAAAACUGAAAAUGCCUCAACAUGAACCCCUGGUGGUCUCUGAGGGUGAAACCUGCUAACUGCUGCAGCUCUGUCAGCUUCAGUCUCCCAUGCAGAGCUCGGAGCGCAUGUGUGGCUCUCCCCCCUAGCAGCGUUGCUAACUCCUCAGUAAGGAAAGCCUGCUUCAUGUCAGAGUCUCUAAACUCCAGAAGAAGUCGAUAAAAGUCACUUUCUUUCUAAAAAAAAAGUCGUUAGGGGGUCUGAAAAGUCAUUGAAUCUAACAACAAAGUCGCUAGGUUUGCAACUACGUGUCCCAGACUGCAUCCCUGCUGAGAGUCCCUCCCUCCCUUCUCAUAUUGCAGGAAGAACGUAAGUUCCCGCCCCUUGUCAAUCAGUCACCAUAUAAUUUUGGAUUGGUUGUUGUGGUGAAGUUUUCCACCAAUAGGAGAGAUGUUGUGGUGUGUAUUUUUUUUCCUUUGGCAAGCCUUUUCCGCCUGUAAGACCUGUCGCUAAUGUCUGCAUGCUAUGUUUUCCUGUCUCAUACAGCGCGAUCGAGCGCCGAACGUGAUCAAAAUAAGCAGAAAACAAGUAUCGCGGACAUAAUUUAUCAUAACUCUGGUUUUAUUUGGCCUAUCAACACAAUUUAAAAACUGUUAUAUAGGUUGAGGUCCUCACUUUUGAGAUAAAUUGAAACGGAGAGUCAACGAGGCUCCGUCUUGCAGCUACAUCCGGUUAAAUAUGUCAUGUGACUUGAACGCACACACACACACACACACAGACACACACACACACGCACACACACACACACUCAGAGUCUGGUUUGUAGCACCUGCAAAAACAUGCUAUUUACAUAUUUGACAAGAAUGCAGAGGCUCCUUUUGCCCCUGAAAAAAAUCAAAUUUCAAACACAACUUGACUGGUCAUUUCUCCAAAAGACAACCAUGAAGCUCCAUCCAAACCUGAAGCAGGCAGUUGGUGCAUGUGUACAGUAACCUGAGGGGAGUGAGGUGACUGCUUCUGAGGAGAACAUGAGCAGUGAAGAUUUACCUUAGAGCUAGAACAGAGACGUGCACAUGAUUAUACAGGGGCAGGGGCUCAAGUUUUUUCCAGUCGUUUAUACAAUUUGGAAAUUAAUGUGAAAUUAAAAAACAAAGUAUUAAUAGAAAGGUAAUGACUGUCCUGUGUAGGUGACAGUGAUAUCCAAUAGGCUAGGCACUCACGAGGCUGGCUGUGGCAAGUGUAAGUGAAAGCAACACGCACUAGCAGGAAGAACAGCAAACGCCGAUGAAGGAAAAGGGUCUUUGCAGUGAUGGGCGUUACCAAAGAGGGCGAUGGCCAGAGGACACAAAUGGGACGGGGAGGCAGCGCGUUGGGGGGGGGACGCGACACAGCUCGGGCCCGCCAGUGCCCCAACGGGGUCCUAGUUCUUUCUUUCUUUCUUCUUUUUCCUCCCCUUUGAACUGGAAAAUGGCCCACUUCCCACUGGCGAAAACUCAUGAAAUUUGGCAGGAUGACCGGGCCUGGUGAAAAAUUUGAUAUUCCGAAGUCGCCCAAACAAGAAAAUGCAAAAUGGCUCCAUAGCGCCCCCUAAGGUGAAAAUUCACACUAUUGACUGUCACGCCUUUACGCUUUGUCAUAUUGACACAAAAAUUGACACACACAUGUAUCUCAAUAAGAUCUACAAAAAAGUCAGUGCGGGCGUAUCUGUCAAAUGUACGGUUAAAGGGUUAUUCCGCAUUUUUUGCCGAUCCGCACACAUUGGAAUUUCGCUAACUCCUCCGAAGGCUUUCGUUCCACCGGCACCACAUUUGCUCAGGCCAAUCUACACCCCAUGGCCAUUAAAAGUUAUUCAAAUCAUGACGCUGCACCCCACAGUUUAGGUUCUAGGGGGCGCCAAAGAUAACCCUAAAAUCCACAUAUUUAAAAGUCUUAUAACUUUUUAUUUUUGCCCUCACUGGCCUCCAAGUUUUCUAGGAUGAUGCAAUGUCCAGCCAUCAACACAUUUGUGAAGGAAUUUUUAAUCCCCAAAAGAGCGCCCCCCCAUGGCAGGAGAAAAAAGUCCAUUUUUUCUUGUCCCCUAAGGUGAAAAUACACAUUGUUGAGUGUCACGCCUGUACGCUUUGUCAUAUUGACACAAAAUUUGACACACACAUGUAUCUCAAUAAGAUCUACGAAAAAGUCAAUGCGCGCGUAUCUGUCAAAUGUACGGUUAAAGGGUUAUUCCGCAUUUUUUGCUGAUCCGCACACAUUGGAAUUUCGCUAACUCCUCCUAAGGCUGGCAUCCACCGGCACCACAUUUGCUCAGGCCAAUCUACACCCCAUGGCCAUUAAAAGUUAUUCAAAUCAUGACGCUGCACCCCACGGUUUAGGUUCUAGGGGGCGCCAAAGAUAACCCUAAAAUCCACAUUUUUAAAAGUCUUAUAACUUUUUAUUUUUGUCCUCACUGGCCUCCAAGUUUUCUAGGAUGAUGCAAUGUCCAGCCAUCAACACAUUUGUGAAAGAAUUUUUACUCCCUAAAAGAGCGCCCCCCCAUGGCAGGAGAAAAAAGUCCAUUUUUUCUUGUCCCCUAAGGUGAAAAUACACAUUGUUGACUGUCACGCCUGUAUGCUUUGGCAAAAUGACACAAAAAUUGACAAUCAUGUGUAUCUCAAUUAGAUCUACGAAAAAGUCAAAGAGCGCGUAUCUGUAUAAUGUACGGUAAAAGGGCUAUUUUGCAUUUUUUGCCGAUUCGCACACAUUGGAAUUUCGCUAACUCCUCCUAAGGCUUUCGUCCCACUGACACCAAAUUUGCUCAGGCCAAUCUACACUCCAUGGCCAUUCAAAGUUGUAAAAAUCAUGACGCUGCACCCCACGGUUUACGUUUAAGGGGGGCCAAAGAUGACCCAAAUAUACAUUACAGUAGACAAAGUAGUUUUGCCCACUGAGUGGCGCCAAAGGGACUUGUCUGUGGAGUCUGUGAGUCACUAUUGGCCGUUUUUGACUACUUUAGAUUUUACCUUUAUAUUUCCUCUUACAAAAUUUUUACCUUGCCUUGCCUGGUAUCAUUUUUUUCAGCACAACCUCACCUGUGUCAAUUUACAGUUAUUUUAUCAUUUUGACAUACUAUAUUUAAACAUUGGACCCAAAUUCACACACAAAACAUAAAAUCCGAGUGGAAAAAAGUAACGUUUUUACUGUGAAAACCACAAAUAUGUGUGAUGAACUGUUUUUAAAACUUAAACUUCAAAUAAAAAUUGUAAACUUCAAAACAUAUGCAAAUUUUUAACAAAGAACAUAGUAAUUUACCUCUAUUUACAUCAAAAUGCAGGCAAUGGCCCAGGCGUUCUUUGUGAAAUUAUUUACAAAACACUGUAUAGUCUCACAAAUCUCACUUUUUAUUUAUGCCACUACAAAAAAACAUGAUGUAAAUGAUGCAUGAUGUAAAACAUGAUGUAAAAAACUUGUGUAGAUCCUCCUCUAUGUUAGUCCAUGUGUAAUUUUUCCAUAAUUCUUUGUUUUUUGCAGCAUUUUUGUUAGUGUAACUGCAGAUUGUGCUGACAGUGUCUAUGGCAAAAAAAAAAAAAAAAAAAAACUGAAAAUGCCUCAACAUGAACCCCUGGUGGUCUCUGAGGGUGAAACCUGCUAACUGCUGCAGCUCUGUCAGCUUCAGUCUCCCAUGCAGAGCUCGGAGCGCAUGUGUGGCUCUGCACCCUUAGCAGCGUUGCUAACUCCUCAGUAAGGAAAGCCUGCUUCAUGUCAGAGUCUCUAAACUCCAGAACUCCAGAAGAAGUCGAUAAAAGUCCCUUUCUUUCUAAAAAAAAGUCAUUAGGGGGUCUGAAAAGUCAUUGAAUCUAACAACAAAGUCGCUAGGUUUGAAACUACGUGUCCCAGACUGCAUCCCUGCUGAGAGUCCCUCCCUCCCUUCUCAAGUUGCAGGAAGAACGCGAGCGCCCAUCCCGUGUCAAUCAGUCACCAUAUAAUUUUGGAUUGGUUGUUGUGGUGAAGUUUUCCACCAAUAGGAGAGAUGUUGUGGUGUGUUUUUUUCUUUUCUUUUGGCAAGCCUUUUCCGCCUGUAAGACCUGUCGCUAAUGUCUGCAUGCUAUGUUUUCCUGUCUCAUACAGCGCGAUCGAGCGCCGAACGUGAUCAAAAUAAGCAGAAAAAAAGUAUUGCGGACAUAAUUUAUCAUAACUCUGGUUUUAUUUGGCCUAUCAACACAAUUUAAAAACUGGUAUAUAGUUUGAGGUCCUCACUUUUAAGAUAGGUUGAAACGAAGAAUCAACGAGGCUCCGUCUUGCAGCUACAUCCGGUUAAAUAUGUCAUGUGACUUGAACGCUGGGGAGCGUCAAUCGAAUCGAAUCAAACCUAACUCUCAGAUGAAUCUUCAAAAUUCACCUCAGAAAUAUGCUUAUUAUUCUUCUCAGAGUACUGCAGGAUACACACACACACAGACACACACACACACACGCACACACACUCAGAGUCUGUUUUUUAGCACCUGCAAACACAUGCUAUUUACAUAUUUGACAAGAAUGCAGAGGCUUUCUUUUGCCUCUGAAAAAAAUCAAAUUUCAAACACAACUUGACUGCUCAUUUCUCCAAAAGACAACCAUGAAGCUCCAUCCAAACCUGAAGCAGGCAGUUGGUGCAUGUGUACAGUAACCUGAGGGGAGUGAGGUGACUGCUUCUGAGGAGAACAUGAGCAGUGAAGAUUCACCUUGGAGCUAGAACAGGGACGUGCACAUGAUUUGCAGGGGCAGGGGCUCAAUUUUUUCCAGUCGUUUAUACAAUAUGGAAAUUAAUGUGAAAUUAAAAAACAAAGUAUUAAUAGAAAGGUAAUGACUGUCCUGUGUAGGUGACAGUGAUAUCCAAUAGGCUAGGCACUCACGAGGCUGGCUGUGGCAAGUGUAAGUGAAAGCAACACGCACUGGCAGGAAGAACAGCAAACGCCGAUGAAGGCAAAGGGUCUUUGCAGUGAUGGGCGUUACCAGAGAGGGCGAUGGCCAGAGGACGCGAAUGGGACGGGGAGGCAGCGCGUUGGGGGGGGGCGCGACACGGCUCGGGCCCGCCAGUGCCCCAACGGGGCCCUAGUUAUUAUUUUUCCUCCGCUUUAAACUGGAAAAUGGCCCACUUCCCACUGGCGAAAACUCAUGAAAUUUGGCAGGACGACCGGGCCUGGUGAAAAAUUCGAUAUUCUGAAGUCGCCCAAACAAUAAAAUGCAAAAUGGCUCCAUAGCGCCCCCUAAGGCGAAAAUUCACACUAUUGACUGUCACGCCUGUACGCUUUGUCAUAUUGACACAAAAAUUGACACACACGUGUAUCUCAAUACGGUCUACGAAAAAGUCAGCGCGGGCGCAUCUGUGAAAUGUACGGUUAGAGGGUUAUUUCGCAUUUUUUGCCGAUCUGCACACAUUGGAAUUUGGCUAACUCCUCCGAAGGCAUUCGUUCCACCGGCACCACAUUUGCUCAAGCCAAUCUACACCCCAUGGCCAUUAAAAGUUGUACAAAUCAUGACGCUGCACCCCACAGUUUACGUUCUAGGGGGCGCCAAAGAUAACCCAAAAAUCCACAGUCUUAAAAGUCUUAUAACUUUUUAUUUUUGCCCUCACUGGCCUCCAAGUUUUCUAGGAUGAUGCAAUGUCCAGCCAUCAACACAUUUGUGAAGGAAUUUUUACUCCCCAAAAGAGCGCCCCCACAUGGCAGGAGAAAAAAGUCCAUUUUUUCUUGUCCCCUAAGGUGAAAAUACACAUUGUUGAGUGUCACGCCUAUACGCUUUGUCAUAUUGACACAAAAUUUGACAAUCACGUGUAUCUCAAUAAGAUCUACGAAAAAGUCAAUGGGCACGUAUCUGUAAAAUGUACGGUUAAAGGGUUAUUUCGCAUUUUUUCCCGAUCCGCACACAUUGGAUUUUCACUAACUCCUCCGAAGGCUUUAGUUCCACCGCCACCAAAUUUGCUCAGGCCAAUCUACACCCCAUGGCCAUUAAAAGUUGUACAAAUCAUGACGUUGCACUCCACGGUUUAGGUUCUAGGGGGCGCCAAAGAUAACCCAAAAAUCCACAUUCUUAAUAGUCUUAUAACUUUUUAUUUUUGUCCUCACUGGCCUCCAAGUUUUCUAGGAUGAUGCAAUGUCCAGCCAUCAACACAUUUGUAAAGGAAUUUUUACUCCCGAAAAGAGCGCCCCCCCAUGGCAGGAGAAAAAUGUCCAUUUUUUCUUGUCCCCUAAGGUGAAAAAACACAUUGUUGACUGUCACGCCUAUACGCUUUGUCAAAAUGACACAAAAUUUGACACACACGUGUAUCUCAAUAAGAUCUACGAAAAAGUCAAUGGGCACGUAUCUGUAAAAUGUACGGUUAAAGGGCUAUUUCGCAUUUUUUGCAGAUCUGCACACAUUGGAAUGUGGCUAACUCCUCCUAAGGCUUUCUUCCCACCGACACCAAAUUUGCUCAAGCCGAUCUACAUCCCAUGGCCAUUCAAAGUUGUAAAAAUCAUGCCGCUGCACCCCAUGGUUUACGUUCUAGGGGGCGCCAAAGAUGACCCAAAUAUCCACAUUCUUAAAAGAAUCCACAUCCCCCCCCCCCCCCCCCCCCCCCCCCCCCCCCCAAGGCAGGAGAAAAAGUCCAGUUAACCCUGCCCAUCGCUCAAUGGCUCAAUCGCAUCGCUCUCCUGGCAACACCGUAAGGAGGAGCAACUUGCCAUUUGGAUAUAUCCUAGCUGUGUUUGUGCCCUCACUCAUGGUCCAGACUUUUUUCAAAUAGGACAUGUAGUUUGUCUGCAGCGACCGUUUUGGUAGAAACUGCGCCUCCCAUUCAUUAUAAUGGGAAAUGACCACAGACAAGUGCGCACACCAUCUUUGGACCUUGAGUGUGAUGCGAUCGGGAGGGGGAGGCGGUCGCGCUGGGGGCGGCGCGACGCGGCUCGGGCCCGACAGUGCCCCACCGGGGCCCUAGUUUGUUAUUAUUAUUAUUUUUCCUCCCCUUUGAACUGGAAAAUGGCCCACUUCCCACUGGCGAAAACUCAUGAAAUUUGGCAGGACGACCGGGCCUGGUGAAAAAUUUGAUAUUCCGAAGUCGCCCAAACAAGAAAAUGCAAAAUGGCUCCAUAGCGCCCCCUAAGGUGAAAAUUCACACUAUUGACUGUCACGCGUGUACGCUUUGUCAAAAUGACACAAAAAUUGACACACACAUGUAUCUCAAUAAGAUCUACAAAAAAGUCAGUGCGGGCGUAUCUGUCAAAUGUACGGUUAAAGGGUUAUUUCGCAUUUUUUGCCGAUCCGCACACAUUGGAAUUUCGCUAACUCCUCCGAAGGCUUUCGUUCCACCGGCACCACAUUUGCUCAGGCCAAUCUACACCCCAUGGCCAUUAAAAGUUAUUCAAAUCAUGACGCUGCACCCCACGGUUUAGGUUCUAGGGGGCGCCAAAGAUAACCCUAAGAUCCACAUAUUUAAAAGUCUUAUAACUUUUUAUUUUUGCCCUCACUGGCCUCCAAGUUUUCUAGGAUGAUGCAAUGUCCAGCCAUCAACACAUUUGUGAAGGAAUUUUGACUCCCCAAAAGAGCGCCCCCCCAUGGCAGGAGAAAAAAGUCCAUUUUGUCUUGUCCCCUAAGGUGAAAAUACACAUUGUUGAGUGUAACACCUGUACGCUUUGGCAAAAUGACACAAAAAUUGACACACACAUGUAUCUCAAUAAGAUCUACGAAAAAGUCAAUGCGCGCGUAUCUGUCAAAUGUACGGUUAAAGGGUUAUUCCGCAUUUUUUGCCGAUCCACACACAUUGGAAUUUCGCUAACUCCUCCGAAGGCUUUCGUUCCACCGGCACCACAUUUGCUCAGGCCAAUCUACACCCCAUGGCCAUUAAAAGUUAUUCAAAUCAUGACGCUGCACCCCACGGUUUAGGUUCUAGGGGGCGCCAAAGAUAACCCUAAAAUCCACAUAUUUAAAAGUCUUAUAACUUUUUAUUUUUGUCCUCACUGGCCUCCAAGUUUUCUAGGAUGAUGCAAUGUCCAGCCAUCAACACAUUUGUGAAGGAAUUUUUACUCCCCAAAAGAGCGCCCCCCCAUGGCAGGAGAAAAAAGUCAAUUUUUUCUUGUCCCCUAAGGUGGAAAUUCACACUAUUGACUGUCACGCCUGUACGCUUUAUCAUAUUGACACAAAAAUUGACACACAUAUGUAUCUCAAUAAGAUCUACAAAAAAGUCAAUGCGCGCGUAUCUGUAAAAUGUACGGUUAAAGGGCUAUUUUGCAUUUUUUGCCGAUUCGCACACAUUGGAAUGUGGCUAACUCCUCCUAAGGCUUUCGUCCCACUGACACCAAAUUUGCUCAGGCCAAUCUACACCCCAUGGCCAUGCAAAGUUGUAAAAAUCAUGACGCUGCACCCCACGGUUUACGUUCUAGGGGGCGCCAAAGAUGACCCAAAAAUCCACAUUCUUAAAGGAAUCCACAUCCCCCCCCCCCCAAGGCAGGAGAAAAAGUCAAGUUUAACCUGCCCAUCGCUCAAUGGCUCAAUCGCAUCGCUCUCCAGGCAACACCGUAAGGAGGAGCAACCUGCCAUUUCGAUAUAUCAUAGCUGUGUUUGUGCCCUCACUCAUGGUCCAGACUUUUUUCAAAUAGGACAUGAAGUUUGUCUGCAGCGAGUGUUUUGGUAGAAACUGCGCCUCCCAUUCAUUAUAAUGGGAAAUGACCACAGACAAGUGCGCACACCAUCUUUGGACCUUGAGUGUGACGCGAUCGGGAGGGGGAGGCGGUCGCGCUGGGGGCGGCGCGACGCGGCUCGGGCCCGACAGUGCCCCACCGGGGCCCUAGUCUUAUUAUUUUUCUGCCCCUUUGAACUGGAAAAUGGCCCACUUCCCACUGGCGAAAACUCAUGAAAUUUGGCAGGACGACCGGGCCUGGUGAAAAAUUCGAUAUUCUGAAGUCGCCCAAACAAUAAAAUGCAAAACGGCUCCAUAGCGCCCCCUAAGGUGAAAAUUCACACUAUUGACUGUCACGCCUGUACGCUUUGUCAUAUUGACACAAAAAUUGACACACACGUGUAUCUCAAUAAGAUCUACAAAAAAGUCAGUGCGGGCGUAUCUGUCAAAUGUAUGGUUAAAGGGUUAUUUCGCAUUUUUUGCCGAUCCGCACACAUUGGAAUUUCGCUAACUCCUCCGAAGGCUUUCGUUCCACUGGCACCACAUUUGCUCAGGCCAAUCUACACCCCAUGGCCAUUAAAAGUUGUACAAAUCAUGACGCUGCACCCCACGGUUUAGGUUCUAGGGGGCGCCAAAGAUAACCCAAAAAUCCACAGUCUUAAAAGUCUUAUAACUUUUUAUUUUUGUCCUCACUGGCCUCCAAGUUCUCUAGGAUGUUGCAAUGUCCAGCAAUUAACACAUUUGUGAAGGAAUUUUUACUCGCCAAAAGAGUGCCCCCCCAUGGCAGGAGAAAAAAGUCCAUUUUUUCUUGUCUCCUAAGGUGAAAAUACACAUUGUCGAGUGUCACGCUUGUAUGCUUUGUCAUAUUUACACACAAUUUGACAACCACUUGAAUCUCAAUAAGAUCUACGAAAAAGUCAAUGUGCGCGUAUCUGUCAAAUGUACGGUUAAAGGGUUAUUCUGCAUUUUUUGCAAAUUUGCACACAUUGGAAUUUUUCUAAGUCCUCCGAAGGCUUUUGUCCCACUGACACCACAUUUGCUCAGGCCAAUCUACACUCCAUGGCCAUUCAAAGUUGUACAAAUCAUGACGCUGCACCCCACGGUUUAGGUUCUAGGGGGCACCAAAGAUAACCCAAAAAUCCACAGUCUUAAAAGUCUUAUAACUUUUUAUUUUUGUCCUCAGUGGCCUCCAAGUUGUCUAGGAUGAUGCAAUGUCCAGCAAUUAACACAUUUGUGAAGGAAAUUUUACUCGCCAAAAGAGUGCCCCCCCAUGGCAGGAGAAAAAAGUCCAUUUUUUCUUGUCUCCUAAGGUGAAAAUACACAUUGUCGAGUGUCACGCCUGUACGCUUUGUCAUAUUUACACACAAUUUGACAACCACAUGAAUCUCAAUAAGAUCUAUGAAAAAGUCAAUGUGCGCGUAUCUGUCAAAUGUACGGUUAAAGGGUUAUUCUGCAUUUUUUGCAGAUUUGCACACAUUGGAAUUUUGCUAACUCCUCCGAAGGCUUUUGUCCCACUGACACCAAAUUUGCUCAGGCCAAUCUACACUCCAUGGCCAUUCAAAGUUGUACAAAUCAUGACGCUGCACCCCACGGUUUACGUUCUAGGGGGCGCCAAAGAUAACCCAAAAAUCCACAGUCUUAAAAGUCUUAUAACUUUUUAUUUUUUUCCUCACUGGCCUCCAAGUUCUCUAGGAUGAUGCAAUGUCCAGCCAUCAACACAUUUGUGAAGGAAUUUUUACUCCCCAAAAGAGCGCCCCCCCAUGGCAGGAGAAAAAAGUCCAUUUUUUCUUGUCCCCUAAGGUGAAAAUACACAUUGUUGAGUGUCACGCCUAUACGCUUUGUCAUAUUGACCCAAAAUUUGACAAUCACGUGUAUCUCAAUAAGAUCUACGAAAAAGUCAAUGGGCACGUAUCUGUAAAAUGUACGGUUAAAGGGCUAUUUUGCAUUUUUUCCCGAUCCGCACACAUUGGAAUUUCGCUAACUCCUCCGAAGGCUUUAGUUCCACCGCCACCAAAUUUGCUCAGGCCAAUCUACACCCCAUGGCCAUUAAAAGUUGUACAAAUCAUGACGCUGCACUCCACGGUUUAGGUUCUAGGGGGCGCCAAAGAUAACCCAAAAAUCCACAUUCUUAAUAGUCUUAUAACUUUUUAUUUUUGUCCUCACUGGCCUCCAAGUUUUCUAGGAUGAUGCAAUGUCCAGCCAUCAACACAUUUGUGAAGGAAUUUUUACUCCCGAAAAGAGCGCCCCCCCAUGGCAGGAGAAAAAAGUCCAUUUUUUCUUGUCCCCUAAGGUGAAAAAACACAUUGUUGACUGUCACGCCUAUACACUUUGUCAAAAUGACACAAAAUUUGACACACACGUGUAUCUCAAUAAGAUCUACGAAAAAGUCAAUGGGCACGUAUCUGUAAAAUGUACGGUUAAAGGGCUAUUUCGCAUUUUUUGCCGAUUCGCACACAUUGGAAUGUGGCUAACUCCUCCUAAGGCUUUCUUCCUACCAACACCAAAUUUGCUCAAGCCGAUCUACAUCCCAUGGCCAUUCAAAGUUGUAAAAAUCAUGCCGCUGCACCCCAUGGUUUACGUUCUAGGGGGCGCCAAAGAUGACCCAAAUAUCCACAUUCUUAAAAGAAUCCACAUCCCCCCCCCCAAGGCAGGAGAAAAAGUCCAGUUAACCCUGCCCAUCGCUCAAUGGCUCAAUCGCAUCGCUCUCCUGGCAACACCGUAAGGAGGAGCAACUUGCCAUUUGGAUGUAUCCUAGCUGUGUUUGUGCCCUCACUCAUGGUCCAGACUUUUUUCAAAUAGGACAUGUAGUUUGUCUGCAGCGACCGUUUUGGUAGAAACUGCGCCUCCCAUUCAUUAUAAUGGUAAAUGACCACAGACAAGUGCGCACACCAUCGUUGAACCUUGAGUGUGACGCGAUCGGGAGGGAGAGGCGGUCGCGCUGGGGGCGGCGUGACACAGCUCGGGCCCGCCAGUGCCCCAACGGGGCCCUAGUUCUUUCUGUUCUUCACAAAGGCCCACUUAGGAUAUCCAUAUAUUGUCAGGGCAUUUUUGAUGUGCUUCUGUUCCUUUUCCUUACAUUCUUUCUUUGUGGGAAUGUUCUCAGCCCGGUGGUUGAGUGUUCUGAAAACACCCAGCUUGUGCUGCAGAGGAUGGUGGGAAUCAAAAAGUAAAUAUUGAUCCAUGUGUGUGGGUUUCCUGUACACUUCAACGUUGAGACACCCAUCUGCCUCCAAGUGUACAGCACAAUCCAAGAGGGCCAAAAUGUUGUCCCUGACAUCUUCACGGGUGAACUUGAUGUUGCUGUCCACUGUGUUGAUAUGGUCUGUGAAGGCCUCUACUUCAUGUGUUUUGAUCUUAACCCAGGUGUCAUCCACAUAUCUGAACCAGUGGCUAGGUGCUUCUCCUUUGAAGGAGGUUAGGGCCUUUCUCUCUACCUCUUCCAUGUACAGGUUUGCCACUACUGAAGAAACCGGGGAGCCCAUGGCACAUCCAUGUUUCUUUCUGUGAUGACACUCUCUGAACUAGAAAUAGGUGGUGCUGAGGCAGAUGUGGUCGGGGUUAAGUUAGUUCUGACCUCCAGUGUGCGGUCCUGUAAGAGGUGUUGUCUUACUGCUUGGACUUCCUCUGUUGUAGGAAUACUCGUGAAAAGUGAUGUCACAUCAUAGGAAACCAUGGUUUCAUCUGGGUCCAGCCUGAUGUCCUUGAUUUUUUCAGCAAAGUCCUGUGAGUUUUUGAUGUGGUGAGUGGUGUGGCCAACAAGAGGAGCAAGGAUGGGGACCAAAUGUUUUGCCACUUUGUAUGUGACUGAGUUAAUGCUGAUGAUGAUGGGUCUAAGGGGGGCCCCUUCCUUGUGUAUUUUAGGUAAUCCGUAAAUGCACGGGACUGCUUCCCCUGGGUAAAGCCAGUAAUAGAGUGGGCGGCCAAUAACUCAAUCCUUUUCCAGCUGUUGAAGUACACUGAUAACUCUUUUUUUCGUAGCUGUUGGUAGGAUCCAGUUUUAUAGUUCCAUAGCUGGCAGUUUCACUGAGAAGGCUUGUUCGUUAUUUUUCCUCCGCUUUAAACUGGAAAAUGGCCCACUUCCCACUGGCGAAAACUCAGGAAAUUUGGCAGGACGACCGGGCCUGGUGAAAAAUUUGAUAUUCUGAAGUCGCCCAAACAAAAAAAUGAAAAAUGGCUCCAUAGCGCCCCCUAUGGUGAAAACUCACCUGACGCCUGUACGCUUUGUCAAAAUGACACAAAAUUUGACACACAUGUGUAUCUCAAUAAGAUCUACAAAAAAGUCAGUGCGGGCGUAUCUGUCAAAUGUACCGUUAAAGGGCUAUUUCGCAUUUUUGGUCGAUUCGCACACAUUGGAAUUUCGCUAACUCCUCCGAAGGCUUUCGUUCCACCGGCACCAAAUUUGCUCAGGCCAAUCUACACCCCAUGGCCAUUAAAAGUUGUACAAAUCAUGACGCUGCAUCCCACGGUUUACGUUCUAGGGGGCGCCAAAGAUAACCCAGAAAUCCACAUUCUUAAAAGUCGUAUAACUUUUUAUUUUUGUCCUCACUGGCCUCCAAGUUUUCUAGGAUGAUGCAAUGUCUAGCCAUCAACACAUUUGUGAAGGAAUUUUUACUCCCCAAA